GACAGAGGGUGCAAACGUUGUUCGGAAUUACUGGGCGUAAAGCGCGUGUAGGCGGUCUCGCAAGUCGGAUGUGAAAGCCCCGGGCUCAACCCGGGAAGUGCACCCGAAACUGCGUGGCUUGAGUACCGGAGAGGUUGGUGGAAUUCUCGGUGUAGAGGUGAAAUUCGUAGAUAUCGAGAGGAACACCGGUGGCGAAGGCGGCCAACUGGACGAGUACUGACGCUGAGACACGAAAGCGUGGGGAGCAAACAGG
rnacentral:rRNA from 1 species